UUCUAAAGCGGAGAUUAAAUUUCAUUAACAACUUUUUCACAACUUUGAUGUAAGAAAAAACGCUGCAUCAUUGACGUGGGCCCUGAAGAGUUGUGACGAUCGCUCCCAUGUUGUGAAACAGUUGCUACUAAAGCUACUUCAUUUACUUAUCGUUUAAGUCAUCGGAUAAAAAUAAGUUUAUAACUGAGGAAAAGUUUGUUUUGCUUUUGAUGACCAAGUAACUUAUUAGUAUUUAAAUUGCUAAGUCUCAUGGUAAACUGCCUUCCAUAAUCUUUUCAAGUUUUCUUUUAAAGUUUUUAAGAUUUCUUCGACUUAAUGUAUGUUUUAUAAACUUAUAUUUAUUUAUUUUUUAACAUUAUUCUUGCAAAAAGAUUUAUGUAGAUAACAAGGUGAAAAUCGAAUGAAGCGUCGUCGCCUGAAUAAAUCUUGGAUUUUAUAAUUACACAAAAUGAUGUUAUUAAUAUUAGUACUGGUUUUAAUCCUAACCUUAUGCUUCUUGUUUUAUAACUGCACUUUUUUGUAGAGCCAACUAAACUGCCAGAUGAUUUUCUUAAUGAUUUUAAUAAAGAAUUUUUAUUGUUAUCUAGUGAAAGUUUAUACGAUAACUUAUAUAAAUAUAAUAUUUAUUUGUAAAUGCAUUCGCAUUAGUUACACCUCAUACUCAAGAGUCUGAAAAACAAAGUACUAGAAAACAAAAGUACAAAAGAAACUAUGACUUUGAUGAAGCCCUUGGACCAGAGAUUGCAAAUCAGUAUCCUAUGAAAGUUGGAAUUUAGGUGUAAAGAUUGGUAUCAUCAACCUAACUAUAUGAUGUAAUAGAGGAUGUUGUAAAAAGAAGAUUUAAAAAGUUUUCAAAUGUUGAUAUUAAACAGUAAAUAUGACAGUUUUGUAAAUAUGCUCUAUCGUUUAAAAAAGACAAACUAAAAUGAAUUGUUCUUUUUUAUUGUUUAUAUUGUAUAUAUGUUUUUAAAUGUUGUACAAAUUGUUUUAUAGAAAGAUACUUUAUAACA